UGUUACAUGAGUUGAGCUGUGUCAGGCAGGCAGGGGGAGCAAGAUGGCAUCACAGAGGCCGGUCCUCCUCUGCUUGUUGCUGUGGGUCUCAGGUUCCCAUGGGGACGUCACAAUGACUCAGUCUCCAGGCUCCUUGGCUGUGUCUCCAGGUCAGCGGGUCACCAUGAACUGCAGAGCCAGUCAGAGUGUGAGCAACUAUGUAGCCUGGUACCAGCAGAAACCUGGGCAGGUUCCCAGGGUCCUCAUCUAUCGUGCGUCCAACAGGGCCACGGGCAUUCCAGACCGGUUCAGCGGCAGUGGGUCUGGGACAGACUUCACCCUCACCAUCAGCAACCUCCAGGCCGAAGAUGUGGGAAACUAUUACUGCCAGCAUCAUUAUAGCUCUCCGCCCACAGUGCUUCAGCCCCGAACACAAACCUGCUGCCCGGGACCAUGGGUCAGUGAGGCUUUGCUGCACCAGCUGCUUCCUCCCCGCUCAGCCCUGAACAUGUGCGUUCCCCUUUGCCUGAGAAGUCACUUCUCCUGACUUACUCCUUGCAGG